GCACAUGAUAGCUCAGUCGGUAGAGCACGGGACUCUUAAUCUCAGGGCUGGGGGUUCAAGCCCCAUGUUGAGCU